rnacentral:rRNA from 1 species
AAUGAACGUUGGCGGCGUGGAUUAGGCAUGCAAGUCGAGCGAGAACCCGCAAGGGGGACAGCGGCAAACGGGGUAGUAAUGUGUCGGAACGUGCCCUCUGGACGGGGAUAGCGGCGGGAAACUGCCGGUAAUACCCGAUGAACUCGAGAGAGCAAAGGUGUGAUUCCGCCGGAGGAGCGGCCGACAUGGUAUUAGCUAGUUGGCGGGGUAACGGCCCACCAAGGCUGUGAUGCCUAGGGGAUGUGAGAGCAUGAUCCCCACCAUUGGGACUGAGACACUGCCCAGACACCUACGGGUGGCUGCAGUCGAGAAUCUUCGUCAAUGGGCGAAAGCCUGAACGAGCGACGCCGCGUGCGGGAUGAAGGCCCUUGGGUUGUAAACCGCUGUCGAGGGGGAUGAAGGCUUGAAGGUACUCCUUCAAGUUUGACAGAGCCCAGAAGGAAGCACGGGCUAAGUUCGUGCCAGCAGCCGCGGUAAU